AUGGAGGAAGCUCCUGUGACCGCAGCCACGGGGGCCUUGGGGCCCGUCGUAGUCAAGCUGGGUGCUUUGCUGGGCAGGGAGUACAAGCUUCGGCGCCGGACUCAGAAGGACGUCAGGUUCAUCAAAUCCAAGCUCAAGUCUAUGCACUCUAUUCUUUGGGCGGCAUGGGAGAAGGAGGUUCUCGAUGCCGAAUCCAAGGACUUGAAGAAGGAAGCGCUGGAUCUUGCCGACGAUAUGCAUGACGCUGUUGACGACUUCAUCCUCACCAUGGAGUGCAGCAACAGAAACAAGCACCUGAUGAUACAGAGCAAGAUCAAAGCAAGCCCCUUCCAUGAUUUCAGGGCAAGAGUAGAUGAAGUGUCAGAUCGGUGCCGUAGCAAGUGGAAGUGGGAGAAGAACAAGCGUGCUCAACCCAUCUCCAGCUUAUUUUCAAGAAGAGACGUAAAAUCUAGCACCCCCAGCAAACCACCUCCACUUCCUCGAGCUCCAUUUGUCCGCAAGGAUGCGUCAGAGAUCUUUGGUAUGGCCGGAUGGAGGGAUGACCUCAUCAGAUACUUGGUAGGAGGAGAAUUAGAAGAACCAGCAGAAGGAAUGGUGCAGCCGCAGCUCAAAAUGGCAUCCAUUGUAGGGAUGGCCGGCGUGGGGAAAACAACCCUUGCCAACCUUGUGUAUGAGGAGAUUGGAAAUAAGUUCCAGAUCCAGGCUUUUGUAUCUGUCACUCCAAGCCCUAACAUGAUGGAGGUUCUCACAAGUAUUCUCCAGCAAGUAGGAGCUGAACCACUUGCUGGCACCCAAGCUAGGUCAGAGGAAGAUAUCAUCGACGCCAUAUCAAAUUCCCUACAAGAUAAAAGGUAUCUGGUAAUAAUUGAUGACAUAUGGCAUCGUGGAGAAUGGGACAUCAUCAGGAGGUCUUUUCCAGAAAAUAAUCUUGGCAGUAGAAUUGUCAUCACUACUCGUAUUGCUUCUCUACCAGGAGAUGAUUUGGAUAAUAGCAAGCUCUGCAUCAGAAUGAAUCCCGUAUCGAGAACAUAUGGUACGUCUGAUAGGAGAUGGCAGUACGGAUGGGAAGAUCUCGCCACACGGAUGAAGCCUGAGACGGCUGGACAAGGUUUUGACUGUAACCAUCCGAUUGCGCGCAUGUGUGGUGGUGUGCCGUUAGCACUACUUUGCCUAUUUUCAGCAAUGGCACUGAUCCGAGAGCAACAAGAACAACUAGGGGUAAAUGUGAAUGCAAGUGAUGUGCAAGAUAUGAUUGAGAAGCAAGUUAAGCAAUGUGGAAUUCAGAACACUCCAGGGUUUGAACCAUUGGUAGAGAGCCUGCAGAUUGGCUAUGACAAUCUUCCUCACCAUAUGUUGAAGACCUGCUUGUUGCACUGUAGUAUAUACCCUGAGAAUUACCAUUUUCACAUGAAUGAUUUGGUCAUGCGGUGGGUCGCUGAAGGAUUUACUUAUAAAAGAGAUGCAGCGGAAGACUAUCUCAAAGAGCUUCACAACAGGGGGUUGAUGCUAUGGGCUGGUUACGGGGCCUACCGAAUGAAUCCGAUUAUGCGAAAUUUCCUUAGAUGGAAAUCACGUGAAGAUAAUUUCAUUACUUGCAGUUCCGACAUCAAAUCCUCAUGUGCCUUUACAAUCCAUCGGCUAUGCAUUGACAAUUAUCAAGUUGAUGAUGGUGCAGAUGCAGUGGAGGGGAUGGAUCCCUUGUUUGGACUGGAUUGGUCUCAGAUUCGAUCUCUUGUUGUUUUUGAAGGUGCUAAGAGAUAUGCCCCCUUUGAGAAGUUGGAACAUGUGCGGGUGUUGGAUCUUCAAUAUCAUCAGCAACAUCUUGAAUUCGAAGAGCGUGUUCAUGGUUUUAGGGGUUUGCCAGUCAGAAAGGCUCUUGGGAAUCAUCAUGUGAAGGUUAUAUGUGGACUGCCCCGUGUGAGACACCUAUUUGGUCUAGAGGGGACAGGAAUUAGUGAGAUACCACCAGAAAUAGCGAGGCUUCAGUAUUUGGAGACUUUGCAGGUAAGAUUCACAUCGAUCAUGGAGUUACCCAAUGAGAUUGGGGACCUACAACAAUUGAAGACUCUGGCCGUGAGUCACAACCGCCAGCUAGCAGAACUGCCCAGAGAGAUUGGAGACCUCCAACAUCUAGAGACACUAGAACUGAGUUACAACGGCAGGCUCAAAGAGCUACCACGUGAGAUCGGGAACCUCCAGAAUUUGGAAAAUCUGAACUUGCAUCACACCAAACUCAAAGAGCUGCCUCCGGAGACUGGGAAGUUGCAGCAUUUGAAAACUCUGGAGGUGGGAUGGGCAAGCAUGACAAGGCUAGGAAGUGAAAUCGGAGACCUGCAUCAUUUAGAGACCCUGGACCUGAGUCACAACUUCGGGCUCACACAACUGCCUCGUGAGAUCGGGAAAUUGCAGAAUUUGAAGCGGUUGCGCUUGCGUAAUACAGGGGUGAUGAAGACGCCAAGGGAAAUCGGAGGGCUCAAGAAGCUGGAGAAUGUGGAGUUAGACUAUACAAUGGGUACACUACCCUGGGAAGCUUGCCAGCUUUCGAAAUUGGAGGGAGUGCCCGAGUGCAUCCGCCAAGCCUGGAAGAAGAGUGAUCUUGUGUCUCGUGUGCUAGCCAGGGAGAUCUUGUCAGUUAAGCUGUUUAAUGUGCUCGCACUUAGUAGCGGGGGCCUAAUUGUUGGCACAAAACACAUGGGAAUUCCACGGUGGAUCAAGGAUCACUUCAACGACCUUGGCUCCUUGGAUAUCAGGAUCUGCAAACUUGAGGAGGAGCAGGAUCUCAAGAUUCUGCGGGAGAUGCCUAAGCUGCGUUACCUCGGGCUAAGGCUGGAGGUCGUCCCGCGAGAUCCCAUAGCCAUCAGCGGUGAAGGGUUCACGAGGCUCGAGCUUCUCUUAGUUGACUGCCGCAUGCCACGGGUUAUCACCUUCCAGGAAGGAGCGAUGCCGAUCCUGAGAUGCCUUACCUUUGAGUUCCAGUUCUACGGUGGCCCACCUCCAUCUGCAAAUAGAGGAGACCCUCGGCUCGGUAUCAAGCACCUCCGCCGUCUCUCAAGUGUCGCGUUUAGCUGCAACGUGGAAUGGUAUGGAGGAGCAGCAGAGAGCAGCCCGUGCAUCAGCGCCAUGAUUGAAGUCGCCAGGAAAGAAGCCCAGGAGCAUCCCAACAAGAUCGACUUUCUUGUCUCUGGCCGACGAGAUGAGGAAUUUCCAGCAAAUGAGAGCUUGGCACGGGAGGUUUCCCAGUCCAGCAGCGCUGAGAAUGAGAUGAAGAGCCUGGCACAGGAGGUUUCCAGCAGCACUGCGACGGGCCCUGAGAUCCUGAAAGCAGCAGCAGCGUGA
rnacentral:rRNA from 1 species